rnacentral:rRNA from 1 species
GCCUACGGGGGGCAGCAGUCGGGAAUAUUGCACAAUGGAGGAAACUCUGAUGCAGUGACGCCGCGUGCAGGAAGAAGGUUUUCUGAUUGUAAACUGCUUUAGAUAGGGAAGAUAAAAGACUGUACCUAUAGAAUAAGCUCCGGCUAACUACGUGCCAGCAGCCGCGGUAAUACGUAGGGAGCAAGCGUUAUCCGGAUUUACUGGGUGUAAAGGGAGCGUAGGCGGCGAUGCAAGUCAGAAGUGAAAGCCCGGGGCUCAACUCCGGGACUGCUUUUGAAGCUGUGUUGCUAGAUUGCAGGAGAGGG